UGCACUUGUUCAGAGCUGGGAACUAGAAGAAUAGUUCUCUGUUUAAAGCCGAGUGCGAUAUAGAAGUAUAUGACGUAUUUUUUACAAUAUUAGUGAACGAUUGGUCACUACAUUUAAAAAUACUUUCAUACAAGU